AACGAACGCUGGCGGCAGGCUUAACACAUGCAAGUCGAACGCCCCGCAAGGGAGUGGCAGACGGGUGAGUAACGCGUGGGAACAUACCCUUUUCUACGGAAUAGCUCUGGGAAACUGGAAUUAAUACCGUAUACGCCCUACGGGGGAAAGAUUUAUCGGGGAAGGAUUGGCCCGCGUUGGAUUAGCUAGUUGGUGGGGUAAAGGCCUACCAAGGCGACGAUCCAUAGCUGGUCUGAGAGGAUGAUCAGCCACAUUGGGACUGAGACACGGCCCAAACUCCUACGGGAGGCAGCAGUGGGGAAUAUUGGACAAUGGGCGCAAGCCUGAUCCAGCCAUGCCGCGUGAGUGAUGAAGGCCUUAGGGUUGUAAAGCUCUUUCACCGAUGAAGAUAAUGACGGUAGUCGGAGAAGAAGCCCCGGCUAACUUCGUG
rnacentral:rRNA from 1 species